rnacentral:rRNA from 1 species
AGCGCAGACGGCGAAGCAAGUCUGAAGUGAAGUGCAUGGGCUCAACCCAUGAAUUGCUUUGGAAAACUGUUUGGCUUGAGUGUCGGAGGGGUAAGCGGAAUUCCUAGUGUAGCGGUGAAAUGCGUAGAUAUUAGGAGGAACACCGGGAGGCGAGGGCGGCUUACUGGACGACAACUGACGUUGAGGCUCGAAGGCGUGGGGAGCAAACA